UACAGAGGGGGCAAGCGUUGUUCGGAAUUACUGGGCGUAAAGGGCGCGUAGGCGGCCGUUAAGUCGAACGUGAAAUCCCCGGGCUCAACCCGGGAACUGCGUCCGAUACUGGCAGGCUUGAAUCCGGGAGAGGGAUGCGGAAUUCCAGGUGUAGCGGUGAAAUGCGUAGAUAUCUGGAGGAACACCGAUGGCGAAGGCAGGUCUCUGGGCCGAUACUGACGCUGAGGAGCGAAAGCGUGGGGAGCGAACAGG
rnacentral:rRNA from 1 species